AUGGAGGUGAGGACAGUAAAAGUUGGCAAUAUUUCAUUGAGUGCCUCAAAAAGGGAGAUCACAGAGUUCUUUUCUUUCUCUGGUGAUAUAGAAUAUGUUGAAAUGCAAAGUGAAACUGAUUGGUCACAACUUGCGUACGUCACAUUUAAGGACUCACAAGGAGCAGACACUGCUGUGCUUCUCUCAGGAGCAACGAUUGUUGAUCUUUCUGUCAUCAUAACUCCAGUUGAGAACUAUCAGUUGCCUCCUGAAGCCCACAAACAAUUACCGGGAGAGAAUUCUCCCUCUGCUGAAUCUGCAGUCAGGAAGGCGGAGGAUGUUGUGAGCAGCAUGAUGGCCAAGGGUUUUGUCCUCAGCAAGGACGCACUCAACAUGGCAAGGUCUUUCGACGAGCGUCACAACAUCAUGUCCACCGCCACCGCCACUGUCGUGUCUCUAGAUCACCAGUACGGCCUGAGCGAGAAGAUCAGCCUGGGCCGGGCGGUCGUCGGCAGCAAGGUCAAGGAGGUGGACGAGCGGUACCAGGUGUCGGAGCUCACAAGGUCCGCCCUGGCCGCCGCCGAGCAGAAGGCCAGCGUCGCAGGCUCGGCUCUCAUGGGCAACCAGUACGUCUCAGCCGGCGCCUCCUGGCUUACCAGCGCGUUCGGCAUGGUGACCAAAGCGGCGGGCGACAUGGGCUCCAUGGCCAAGGACAAGGUCGACAAGGCCGAGGAGGAGAGGAAGGCCAUCAUGUGGGAAGAGAGGAACGGGCUGGUGAGCGAGUAUGCGAAGAUCCAUCUGGACGAGCACUCCUCGUGGGAGCCCGCGGUUCUUCCCGUGGAAUCGAUGGACGAGCAGAAGCUCCAGGCCGUGUGA
rnacentral:rRNA from 1 species